GUCAGGCACAAAUUCGUAUAAUAAUAAAUUAUAUAUAAAUUAAUAUAUUAGUUUUAGUGUUCGAAUCUCCAAUAAGGAAGAAAAAAAGAGAUUUGAAUUCGGUUUUUGAACCGUCAGGUCCCCCCAAGAGAAAGUCUCAUAAAAAAAAAAGAAAAGAAAAGAAAAAUAACAUCAACAACAACAACUUUUUACUGAGAAUUCACUAAAAAAAUCAUAUUAUACCUGCUUCAUUUAAUGGUCAGUGGCUGAUAACUUCGAAAUAGGUGCGUCAAACGCGUUGAUGAUCGACGUGCGCGUUCUCGUGUUUUGAAAGAAGACGUGCUCGCGCUACAGUGAACGACUCUACCUCACACACGGGAGCGUCACUAACGACAAACUUCUCGAUGUUCGAGACGUGAGCUCCACCAAAAUCAACCAUAAAAAAUGAGAAGCUGAUAGUAUUUUCCCAAUGUUUCUAUUUGUUUGGUGAGGAUUAUUGAUCAGUUCAGAGUUUUCAACAUCUGCGGUUUUCCAGCGCCUUCGUUUCAUUUGAGAUGUCAAUGUAUCCCUGAACGUCACAGUUUACAAGUCACUGACUCAUUUUCAAGCAAAUUCAGACCCGGUCGCACCAACAUUAUUUAACUGGAGCGAAUGAGACGACUGAAUGACAGGAGGCGGGUUCGUGUCAAUUCGGAGAGGAGAGCAAGAAAGCGCAGCUACUAUCCAUGUAUCGUACUGCAGAAAGGAGUAUUAGAGUCGUUUCAGAUAUUUUAGUAUUGAUAUAUAACAAAAUACCAAUAUUUUUGACAACACUAUUCCAAACCUGUAAGACUUUCGUUCAUCUUCAGAUCAAAAAUGAAGAUCUUUUUAAUGAAACUUGAGAGAUUUCUGUCCCUCCAUAGACAGGUACACUGUAAACCUGAAUAAGUUGGGCUAACUCAAAAAAAACUGAGGUGAACAGUUACAUCAAAUUUUUUGAGUUAUGAUGUUCCCAAUUUUAAGUAAGCAGAACUAUCAAGUUUUGAGUUUGUAGUACUCAUGCAUGUUAAUUUCUCCUAACUUGAAGUACCGAUUUUUAGCUAACUUGUACAUUUUUAUAGCAAUUAACAUAAAAGAUUGUUAAUUAACUUUUAUUUUGAGUACUUGCAAAUCAAAUGAGUUGUUUACUUCACUGUAAACCCUAAUAAGAAAAUUCUGAAAAUGCCAACUUGCUAUUUUGCUAACAUGUUAACAAUAGCAUGGUAUAGCACUUACUAUAGCACUUACUGAAUACAGCAACUUAAAACAUGUAACUUACCUGCUCUCAAACCAAGCUCAUGCGCUGCUUGUCACCAUGAUGGCAAUUCUCCAAAAACCCACAUUAACA